rnacentral:rRNA from 1 species
CGAAAGCCUGACGGAGCAAUACCGCGUGAGGGAGGAAGGCCUUUGGGUUGUAAACCUCUUUUCUCAGGGAAGAAGAUCUGACGGUACCUGAGGAAUAAGCAUCGGCUAACUCCGUGCCAGCAGCCGCGGUAAUACGGAGGAUGCAAGCGUUAUCCGGAAUUAUUGGGCGUAAAGCGUCCGUAGGUGGUUUAUCAAGUCUGCUGUUAAAGCAUGGAGCUUAACUCCAUAAAGGCAGUGGAAACUGGUGAACUUGAGUUCGGUAGGGGUAGCGGGAAUUCCCAGUGUAGCGGUGAAAUGCGUAGAGAUUGGGAAGAACACCAGUGGCGAAGGCGCUCUACUGGACCGAAACUGACACUGAGGGACGAAAGCUAAGGUAGCG